AUACGUAGGGUGCGAGCGUUGUCCGGAAUUACUGGGCGUAAAGAGCUCGUAGGUGGUUUGUCGCGUCGUCUGUGAAAUUCAGGGGCUUAACUCCGGGCGUGCAGGCGAUACGGGCAUAACUUGAGUACUGUAGGGGAGACUGGAAUUCCUGGUGUAGCGGUGAAAUGCGCAGAUAUCAGGAGGAACACCGGUGGCGAAGGGGGGUCUCUGGGCAGUAACUGACGCUGAGGAGCGAAAGCAUGGGUAGCGAACAGGAUUAGAUACCCUGGUAGUCCAUGCCGUAAACGGUGGGCGCUAGGUGUAGGGGUCUUCCACGACUUCUGUGCCGUAGCUAACGCAUUAAGCGCCCCGCCUGGGGAGUACGGCCGCAAGGCUAAAACUCAAAGGAAUUGACGGGG
rnacentral:rRNA from 1 species